GUUUGAUUGGCCAUCGUUGCCUGUCAAUCACCUACAAAUACGUUAUGCUUAGCUGUGUUGUUAUGGUUGUGACAUAAGUUCUGUUUUUACGUGACGAGAGAAGGUUGGGUGUUCAUGUGCGACACGUAAAUUCUGUGACACAGAUGCAGUUGGAGGAUGGCUGGCAAAUCAAGUGCAUGCAAAGUUCGAAAUGUGGAUAUCAACCCAUGCAUUGAGGAGAGUGAUGGUUCUCAAAAAUGUUUGGAUGCAUACAACUAUGAUAAGAGCAUGUGUUCUGCAUACUUCAUGAGAUAUAAAAACUGCAGGAAAUACUGGAAUUCUUCUGGUAUGGUUCCUUGGUAUUGGAAAUGGUUUAAUUGUUGAUGUAACAGUUGAUGGUCACCAUUGGAACAAGUGGAGGGAGGAUGGGCUCCCCUGCUGAGUUUGAUUCAUCCCCAUUUAUUUCAUCCCAUUUCACAUUCUCAGCAUGGUGUGAUGCUGCAGCGUAGGCGUGACGGAGUGAAGCCUGAUAUGCCAACCGCUCAGGAACGAGAGCAGAUCAGGACAGCCCUUGGAGGGAGGCCCUACUGACUGCAGGGUAGCAGUUAAAACGUGUGUGUGUGUGUGUGUGUGUGUGUGUGUGUGUGUGUUUGUUUGGACUCAAAAGAAAUUUCUUGCAGAGGAGACACAUUACGAAUCUAUCCCUCUGGCUUUAUUAAAUAUGUAUUUCAGUCCUGCAUGUGGGAAAAGAGGUUAAAUGUGUACUUGCAGAAUUUUAGCAAUUAUGUAGAUGUUACAACUACUGCUGUGUUUGUAUGUAUAAUACUGUCAAUGGCAGGCUAUUACAGCCAAAUUUAAUGAAUUCAGUUGUUCAAAAUAGAACACGUUUUUAA